rnacentral:rRNA from 1 species
AACGAACGCUGGCGGCAUGCCUAACACAUGCAAGUCGAACGAGAUCUUCGGGUCUAGUGGCGCACGGGUGCGUAACGCGUGGGAAUCUGCCCUUUGGUUCGGAAUAACAGUUGGAAACGACUGCUAAUACCGGAUGAUGACGAAAGUCCAAAGAUUUAUCGCCAGAGGAUGAGCCCGCGUAGGAUUAGCUAGUUGGUGUGGUAAAGGCGCACCAAGGCGACGAUCCUUAGCUGGGCUGAGAGGAUGAUCAGCCACACUGGGACUGAGACGCGGCCCAGACUCCUACGGGAGGCAGCAGUGGGGAAUAUUGGACAAUGGGCGAAAGCUUGAUCCAGCAAUGCCGCGUGAGUGAUGAAGGCCUUAGGGUUGUAAAGCUCUUUUACCCGGGAUGAUAAUGACAGUACCGGGAGAAUAAGCUCCGGCUAACUCCGUGCCAGCAGCCGCGGUAA